rnacentral:rRNA from 1 species
GUCCAGACUCCUACGGGAGGCAGCAGUGGGGAAUAUUGGGCAAUGGGCGCAAGCCUGACCCAGCAACGCCGCGUGAAGGAAGAAGGCUUUCGGGUUGUAAACUUCUUUUCUCAGGGACGAAGAAAGUGACGGUACCUGAGGAAUAAGCCACGGCUAACUACGUGCCAGCAGCCGCGGUAAUACGUAGGUGGCAAGCGUUAUCCGGAUUUAUUGGGUGUAAAGGGCGUGUAGGCGGGAGCGCAAGUCAGAUGUGAAAUCUGGUGGCUCAACCUCCAAAUUGCAUUUGAAACUGUUUUUCUUGAGUACUGGAGAGGCAGACGGAAUUCCUUGUGUAGCGGUGAAAUGCGUAGAUAUAAGGAGGAACACCAGUGGCGAAGGCGGUCUGCUGGACAGCAACUGACGGUGAGGCGCGAAAGCGUGGGGAGCAAACAGGAUUAGAUACCCGAGUACA